CAACUAACAAUAUAAAUCCAUAAUAAUAUAAUUCUUGCAUUUGAAACAUUCCUCUCCUUCAUCAUCAAACCAUUACAAGGUUCACAGAUUGACCAAGGCAGGAGGUCCCAAAGACUACCCACUAUUCCCCUUUAUUUAAGCAGUCAGACAGCCUCCAACACAAAGAAAAUCUACAGCUUGCAAAUAAUGAAGCACCCUUUCUCUCCAUCAUGCCAGAAAAGAUAGACCUCCCAAGACAAAAUCAUUUUAAAGAUGUGAG
rnacentral:lncRNA from 1 species